rnacentral:rRNA from 1 species
AACGAACGCUGGCGGCAUGCCUAACACAUGCAAGUCGAACGAGACCUUCGGGUCUAGUGGCGCACGGGUGCGUAACGCGUGGGAACCUGCCCUUAGGUUCGGAAUAACUCCCCGAAAGGGGUGCUAAUACCGGAUAAUGUCUUCGGACCAAAGAUUUAUCGCCUUUGGAUGGGCCCGCGUUUGAUUAGCUAGUUGGUAGGGUAAAAGCCUACCAAGGCGACGAUCCAUAGCUGGUCUUAGAGGAUGAUCAGGCACACUGGGACUGAGACACGGCCCAGACUCCUACGGGAGGCAGCAGUGGGGAAUAUUGGACAAUGGGCGAAAGCCUGAUCCAGCAAUGCCGCGUGAGUGAUGAAGGCCUUAGGGUUGUAAAGCUCUUUUACCCGGGAUGAUAAUGGCAGUACCGGGAGAAUAAGCUCCGGCUAACUCCGUG